GUUAGGUUUAAGGUUUUUGGCGUGAGGGUUAAAAUAACUGUCCAAUAUUUUUUAAGGAACAUGUUUCAGACCUUUGGGAGUUAGUUAGACAAAAAAAAGAAAAAGAAAAAAAUAUAUAUUUGGGGUGUUCGGGUUUCCUGAAGGUAAUACCCGGGUAUUAGGUUUUGGGGCUAGGGUAAGGUUUAAGGUUUUUGGUGUUAGGGUUAAAAUCACUGUCCAAAACCUUUGUAGGAACUCUUUUCCAACCUUUUGGAGUUAGUUAGACCAAAAAAAAAAAAAAAAUGAAAGAAAUUUAUUUGGGGUCUUCGGGCUUCCUGAAAGAAAUACCCAGGUAUUAGGUUAUGGGGCUAGGGUAAGGUUUAAGGUUUUUGGCGUUAGGGUUAAAAUCACUGUCCAAAACCUUUUUAGGAACAUGUUUCAGACCUUUUGGAGUUGGUUACACCAAAAAAAAAUGUAAAAUGAAAAGAAAAUAUUUGGGGUGUUCAAGCUUCCUGAAGGUAAUACCCGAGUAUUAGGUUAUGGGGCUAUAGUAAGGUUUAAGGUUUUUGGCGUUAGGGUUAAAAUCACUGUCCAAAACCUUUUUAGGAACUAUUUUCCAACCUUUUGGAGUUAGCUAGACCAAAAAAAAAAAUGAAAAAUGAAAAAAAAUAUAUUUGGGGUUUUUGGGUUACUGAAGGUUAUACCCGGGUAUUAGGUUUUGGGGCUAGGGUUAGGUUUAAGGUUUUUGGCGUAAGGGUUAAAAUCACUGUCCAAUAUUUUUUAAGGAACAUCUUUCAGACCUCUGCGAGUUAGUUAGACAAAAAAAAAAAGAAAAAGAAAAAAAAAAUUUGGGGUGUUCGGGCUUCCUGAAGGUAAUACCCGGGUAUUAGGUUUUGGGGCUAGGAUUAGGUUUAAGGUUUUUGGCGUUAGUGUUAAAAUCACCGUCUAAAACCUUUGUAGGAACUCUUUUCAGACCUUUUGGAGUUAGUUAGACCAAAAAAAAAAAAAAAAUGAAAAAAAAAUAUUUGGGGUCUUCGGGCUUCCUGAAGGAAAUACCCAGGUAUUAGGUUAUGGGGCUAGGGUAAGGUUUAAGGUUUUUGGCGUUAGGGUUAAAAUCACUGUCCAAAACCUUUGUAGGAACUCUUUUCCAACCUUUUGGAGUUAGUUAGACAAAAAAAAUGUAAAAUGAAAAAAAUAUAUUUGGGGUGUUCAAGCUUCCUGAAGGUAAUACCCGGGUAUUAGGUUUUGGGGCUAGGGUAAGGUUUAAGGUUUUUGGUGUUAGGGUUAAAAUCACUGUCCAAAACCUUUUUAGGAACAUGUUUCAGACCUUUUGGAGUAGGUUACACCAAAAAAAAAUGUAAAAUGAAAAGAAAAUAUUUGGGGUGUUCAAGCUUCCUGAAGGUAAUACCCGGGUAUUAGGUUAUGGGGCUAUAGUAAGGUUUAAGGUUUUUGGCGUUAGGGUUAAAAUCACUGUCCAAAACCUUUGUAGGAACUAUUUUCCAACCUUUUGGAGUUAGUUAGACCAAAAAAAAACGAAAAAUGAAAAAAAAUAUUUGGGGUUUUCGGGCUUACUGAAGGUAAUACCCGGGUAUUAGGUUUUGGGGCUAGGGUUAGGUUUAAGGUUUUUGGCGUCAGGGUUAAAAUCACUGUCCAAUAUUUUUUAAGGAACAUCUUUCAGACCUCUGGGAGUUAGACAAAAAAAAAGAAAAAGAAAAAAAAAAUUGGGGUGUUCGGGCUUCCUGAAGGUAAUACCCGGGUAUUAGGUUUUGGGGCUAGGGUUAGGUUUAAGGUUUUUGGCGUUAGGGUUAAAAUCACUGUCCAAAACCUUUGUAGGAACUCUUUUCCAACCUUUGGGAAUUAGUUAGACAAAAAAAAAAAGAUAAAUGAAAAAAAAAUAUUUGGGGUGUUCGGGCUUCCUGAAGGUAAUACUUUGUAUUACCUUUGUAGGAAGUCUUUUCCAACCUUUUGGAGUUAGUCUUUUGUAGGAAGUCUUUUCCAACCUUUUGGAGUUAGUUAGACAAAAAAAAAAAAGAUAAAUGAAAAAAAAAUAUUUGGGGUGUUCGGGCUUCCUGAAGGUAAUACCCGGGUAUUAGGUUAUGGGGCUAGGGUAAGGUUCAAGGUUUUUGGCGUAAGGGUUAAAAUCACUGUCCAAAACCUUUUUAGGAACAUGUUUCAGACCUUUUGGAGUUGGUUACACCAAAAGAAAUGUAAAAUGAAAAAAAAAUUUUUUUGGGUGUUCGGGCUUCCUGAAGGUAAUACUUUGUAUUACCUUUGUAGGAAGUCUUUUCCAACCUUUUGGAGUUAGUCUUUUGUAGGAAGUCUUUUCCAACCUUUUGGAGUUAGUUAGACAAAAAAAAAAAGAUAAAUGAAAAAAAAAUAUUUGGGGUGUUCGGGCUUCCUGAAGGUAAUACCCGGGUAUUAGGUUAUGGGGCUAGGGUAAGGUUUAAGGUUUUUGGCGUAAGGGUUAAAAUCACUGUCCAAAACCUUUUUAGGAACAUGUUUCAGACCUUUUGGAGUUGGUUACACCAAAAAAAAUGUAAAAUGAAAAAAAAAAUUUUUUGGGUGUUCGGGCUUCCUGAAGGUAAUACUAGGUUUCUGGGCUAGGGUAAUGUUUAAGGUUUUUGGUGUUAGGGUUAAAAUCAAUGUCCAAAACCUUUGUAGGAACUCUUUUCCAACCUUUGAGAGCAAGUUAGACCAAAAAAAAAAGAAAAAUAAAAAAUAUAUAUUUGGGGUGUUCGGGCUUCCUGAAGGUAAUACCCGGGUAUUAGGUUUUGGGGCUAGAGUUAGGUUUAAGGUUUUUGGCGUUAGGGUUAAAGUAACUGUCCAAUAUUUUUUAAGGAACAUGUUUCAGACCUUUGGGAGUUAGUUAGACAAAAAAAAAAGAAAAAGAAAAAAAAAUAUUUGGGGUGUUCGGGUUUCAUGAAGGUAAUACCCGGGUAUUAGGUUAUGGGGCUAGGGUAAGGUUUAAGGUUUUUGGCGUUAGAGUUAAAAUCAGUGUCCAAAACCUUUUAAGGAACAUGUUUAAGACCUUUUGGAGUUGGUUACACCAAAAAAAAUGUAAAAUGAAAAAAAAAAUAUGUGGGGUGUUCGGGCUUCCUGAAGGUAAUACCCGGGUAUUAGGUUUUGGGGCUAGGGUAAGGUUUAAGGUUUUUGGUGUUAGGGUUAAAAUCACUGUCCAAAACCUUUGUAGGAACUCUUUUCCAACCUUUUGGAGUUAGUUAGACCAAAAAAAAAAAAAAAAUGAAAAAAAUAUAUUUGGGGUCUUCGGGCUUCCUGAAGGUAAUACCCGGGUAUUAGGUUAUGGGGCUAGGGUAAGGUUUAAGGUUUUUCAGCGUGAGGGUAAAAAUCACUGUCCAAAACCUUUGUAGGAACUCUUUUCCAACCUUUGGGAAUUAGUUAGACAAAAAAAAUAAGAUAAAUGAAAAAAAAAUUUUUGGGGUGUUCGGGCUUCCUGAACGUAAUACCCGGGUAUUAGGUUUUGGGGCUAGGGUAAGGUUUAAGGUUUUUGGUGUUAGGGUUAAAAUAACUGUCCAAAACCUUUUUAGGAACAUGUUUCAGACCUUUUGGAGUUGAUAACACCAAAAAAAAAUGUAAAAUAAAAAAAAAAUAUUUGGGGUGUUCAAGCUUGCUGAAGGUAAUACCCGGGUAUUAGGUUUUGGGGCUAGGGUAAGGUUUAAGGUUUUUGGCGUUAGGGUUAAAAUCACUGUCCAAAACCUUUUUAGGAACAUGUUUCAGACCUUUUGGAGUAGGUUACACCAAAAAAAAAUGUGCAAUGAAAAAAAAAUAUUUGGGGUGUUCAAGCUUCCUGAAGGUAAUACCAAGGUAUUAGGUUAUGGGGCUAUAGUAAGGUUUCAGGUUUUUGGCGUUAGGGUUAAAAUCACUGUCCAAAACCUUUGUAGAAACUAUUUUCCAACCUUUUGGAGCAAGUUAGACCAAAAAAAAAACGAAAAAUGAAAAAAAAUAUUUGGGGUGUUCGGGCUUCCUGAAGGUAAUACCCGGGUAUUAGGUUAUGGGGCUAGGGUAAGGUUUAAGGUUUUUUGGCGUGAGGGUAAAAAUCACUGUCCAAAACCUUUGUAGGAACUCUUUUCCAACCUUUGGGAAUAAGUUAGACAAAAAAAAUAAGAUAAAUGAAAAAAAAAUAUUUGGGGUGUUCGGGCUUCCUGAAGGUAAUACCCGGGUAUUAGGUUUUGG